GAAUCCCGGAAUCGCCAAUCCCAGAAUGCGGAACAGCAGGCACACCGUCGACUCCGAGAACUGAUUGCCGUACAGGAGAGUGAUCAAGAACAAGCCUUGGACAAUCUCCCACACUGCGUUCAGGUGCACAAAUAUUGUCCACAGGAUGCUGUAGUUCCGGUUGGGUUCUUCCUUAACAAUGAUUCCCUUGUACACGCUGUUGAAAUAGUUACAGUCGCCGAUGUGCUUGAAACCCAUGACGUGGUCGUCGAACGGGACUCGAGGGAUCACAUCGUUGCAGUAGACGACGCGGAAGAAUUUGCCCUUGAGCUUGGAGUUCGCGUAGUUGACGAAGUCCUGGUCGCCGACACGAGGCUGGCCGAAGGUGUAGACGGCUCCGAUCUUGGAGGCAAUCUCGGUCUGGCC
rnacentral:lncRNA from 1 species